rnacentral:rRNA from 1 species
GACGAACGCUGGCGGCGUGCCUAAUACAUGCAAGUAGAACGCUGAAGAGAGGAGCUUGCUCUUCUUGGAUGAGUUGCGAACGGGUGAGUAACGCGUAGGUGACCUGCCUGGUAGCGGGGGAUAACUAUUGGAAACGAUAGCUAAUACCGCAUAAAAUUGAUUAUUGCAUGAUAAUUAAUUGAAAGAUGCAAUUGCAUCACUACCAGAUGGACCUGCGUUGUAUUAGCUAGUUGGUGAGGUAACGGCUCACCAAGGCGACGAUACAUAGCCGACCUGAGAGGGUGAUCGGCCACACUGGGACUGGGACACGGCCCAGACUCCUACGGGAGGCAGCAGUAGGGAAUCUUCGGCAAUGGGGGGAACCCUGACCGAGCAACGCCGCGUGAGUGAAGAAGGUUUUCGGAUCGUAAAGCUCUGUUGUAAGAGAAGAACGGGUGUGAGAGUGGAAAGUUCACACUGUGACGGUAUCUUACCAGAAAGGGACGGCUAACUACGUGCCAGCAGCCGCGGUAAUACGUAGGUCCCGAGCGUUGUCCGGAUUUAUUGGGCGUAAAGCGAGCGCAGGCGGUUAGAUAAGUCUGAAGUUAAAGGCUGUGGCUUAACCAUAGUAUGCUUUGGAAACUGUUUAACUUGAGUGCAGAAGGGGAGAGUGGAAUUCCAUGUGUAGCGGUGAAAUGCGUAGAUAUAUGGAGGAACACCGGUGGCGAAAGCGGCUCUCUGGUCUGUAACUGACGCUGAGGCUCGAAAGCGUGGGGAGCAAACAGGAUUAGAUACCCUGGUAGUCCACGCCGUAAACGAUGAGUGCUAGGUGUUAGGCCCUUUCCGGGGCUUAGUGCCGCAGCUAACGCAUUAAGCACUCCGCCUGGGGAGUACGACCGCAAGGUUGAAACUCAAAGGAAUUGACGGGGGCCCGCACAAGCGGUGGAGCAUGUGGUUUAAUUCGAAGCAACGCGAAGAACCUUACCAGGUCUUGACAUCCCUCUGACCACUCUAGAGAUAGAGUUUUCCUUCGGGACAGAGGUGACAGGUGGUGCAUGGUUGUCGUCAGCUCGUGUCGUGAGAUGUUGGGUUAAGUCCCGCAACGAGCGCAACCCCUAUUGUUAGUUGCCAUCAUUCAGUUGGGCACUCUAGCGAGACUGCCGGUAAUAAACCGGAGGAAGGUGGGGAUGACGUCAAAUCAUCAUGCCCCUUAUGACCUGGGCUACACACGUGCUACAAUGGCUGGUACAACGAGUCGCAAGCCGGUGACGGCAAGCUAAUCUCUGAAAGCCAGUCUCAGUUCGGAUUGUAGGCUGCAACUCGCCUACAUGAAGUCGGAAUCGCUAGUAAUCGCGGAUCAGCACGCCGCGGUGAAUACGUUCCCGGGCCU